CGCUGGGUCAGGGAGAUGCCUGCGGGUACUCGGGCGGCCGCUGGGGGCGCUGCGGGGCCGGGGGAGGCGUGGCGCGGCGCGGGCCGGGGCGGGGCUGCGCGCAGCGGUUACUCGCGGCGGGCAGUUCAAACCGAAGGAGGGAAAGGCGGCGGCCCCAAGCGGACCUGGCGUGGGGGUUGCCAUAGCCCGGCAUCCCUGGGGGCCCUGCCGCGGCUCCUCCCCGACUCGCCCGGCUCCCCUGCCCCCAGUCCCGCCCGGGCGCCGCGCCUUCGGCCUCAAGAAACAGAGAUUCUGGAGAUGUCACAAAGACACUCAGGCCAAGCCACCACUGGAGCAGGAAAUGAGGUGGACUCUCCUACGGUCAGCUUCAGGCACUCAAGCUUCAGAGACUUGUCUUCUACAUCUUCAUUUCGAGAUGGCGGCUACAAGGAGUCCUUCAAACCUUGCUGCUUCAAUGACACAGAUGAAGAAUUUGGGAGGAAGAAGGAGAAAGGCCUAACAUUAAUCCACGAGCACCCUGCAACUUCAGGCUGGGGCUUAGCCCGUCCGUCAGAGACUCCCGCUCAAAGAAAGAGAUGUGUCUUCCCUGCAAAGGAAGGGGAUGAGUCCCCAGAACUGUGUGAAACUCCCAAAGUCAGUAGGAAAAAAUGUCUGUUGCCCAGACGGUUGCACGUAUCCUUCCCUCCCCUACAGGGGGAGUUGGAGUCACAAAGUCAUUCUCUAGAGAGUGGCGUCAGCCAGAUUCCCCACUUAGGAGACCCUGAUCCCGGCAGUGUUUCUGGUCUUCCAAGGCAGAGCAAGCACAGCCCUCUGGCGAUCACUAGCACUCUAAAGACAGAGGAAGUGCCGUCCAACAGUCAGAACCUGAGACUAGCUUUUUCUCACCAAAAGACUUCCACAGUCGAUGAUGCCAAAGAUGACUACAGCCUGUUUGAAGUGGACUGCCUAUCGCCCAUCCAGGGAAACCAUUUUAAAGACUCUAUCACCUACGACUUCAGCGACAGCAGUUUAAGUGUGGAUGAAAAUGCUUGUCCUGAGCUGCUGGGCUCCUCCGGCAGUGGAGGCACCUGUGGGACAGAUGAGGACAUAUUUGUGACGCCAAUAAGUAAUCUCGUGGCCAGCAUUAAAUUCCACGCAAGUGGCACCCUUUCCCCUUCAUCGGAGGUGAGAGGUGACAUUUCAACACCCGAAGACAGCGGCUUUAACUCGCUUAGCUUGGACAAGUCAGAAGAUUCCCUCUCCGACCAGGAAGGUUCUUUCCAGGAACUACUUCAGAAGCACAGAGGAGCUCUCAAAGCAGGGGACACCGUUCGAAAGUCACGGCGCCUUGGCAGGUCAAGGAGACUGUCCACCCUCCGGGAGCAAGGCUCGCAGUCGGAGACGGAGGAGGAAGGGCAGGGCGUGCGCUCCAGCUCUGAGAGAGCAGCGGCCGCGUCAGACCUCCCCGAGAGUCAGCCGCGCAGUGACCAGAGCGGGGCACUGUCGUCAAGCUUCACGGGUUUAUCCAAGACGCCAGCCUUGCAACUAGUGCACGAGCUCUUUAUGAAAAGCAAAAGGAAAAGAUUCCAGCAGAACGGUGCCCAUGAAUUCUUAGACGAAAGGGAUGGGGGUAAAAUAGCUGUUCUGAAGUGCGUUCUUGCAGGACUGAUUGGCAAGAAAAUGGGUAUAGAAAAGCUGGACAUCUUAACAGAGUUAAAAUAUAGAAAUUUAAAGCAUAUUCUUACUAUGGUUUUAGAUUCCUUGACUGCAGAGAGCCUAUGCAGCACACAAGCAUCAGCCGAAAGCGAGGCAGUGGCAACAGAAGUGGCCUUCACUGGGAGAGCUUUGGUGCUGACGACUCAAUGGUCACCGCCGUACCCGGUCCCUCUGCUCUUCAGUCUUUUCCUGCCCUUAUUCCUUUGGAGGAAUUUGUUAGAGUAUUUGAAAAAGGCUAGAUAGCUGUUGAAAGAUUACUUUUUUUCUAUGUAAUUAAUAUGGUAGACAUUAUUGAUAAUUAAGUGAUCACUGGAUAAAAAUUGUGGUUUUUCUUUAGCUGCUUCUUUCUCAUACAGUGUGAAUAAUAAAAUAGAAACUUUGUGGUGCUAUUAUUAACAGUAUUCGUUCAUUUAUUUUAAAAAUUUAUUUAUUUAUUUGAAAGGCAGAAUGACAGAAAGAGAGAGAGAGGGUUUCCAUCUGCUGGUUUGCUCUCCAAAUAGCUGCAAUAGCCAGGGCUGUGCCAGGCUGAAGCCAGGAGCCCUGAUGCCAGCUGGGUCUCCCGUAUGGGUGUCUGCGACCCAAGCACUUGUUCUUCAUCUGCUGCCUCCCAGGCAUGUUAGCAGGAAACAGGCAAAUGGGGCUCAACCAGGCACUCCAACAUAGGAUGUGGGCCUCCCAAACAGUGGUGUAGGCUGCUGCUAACGCCCUGCCCUCGUAAUAGUAUUUAUUUGGCAAUUAGGUCUCCUAUUGAAGAAUUAAUUUUGCUUUUAUUUAUUUGAUCAACAUUGCAGAGAUUUGUUAAAUACAAAAAAGGAAUAGGAGCAUUGUUUUUAAAAAUCUCUACAAACGGCCAACACUGCGGCUCAAUAGGCUAAUCUUCCACCUGCAGCGCCAGCACACAGGGUUCUAGUCCUGGUCAGGGCACCGGAUUCUGUCCUGGUUGCUCCUCUUCCAGUCCAGCUCUGCUGUGGCCCAGGAGUACAGUGGAGGAUGGCCCAAGUCCUUGGGCCCUGCCCCUGCAUGGAAGACCAGGAGAAGCACCUGGCUCCUGGCUUCAGAUCAGCGCAGUGCGCAGGCCGCAGCACGCCGGCCGCAGCGGCCAUUGGGAGGUGAACCAACGGAAAAGGAAGACCUUUGUCUCUCUCUCUCUCACUGUCCACUCUGCCUGUCAAAAAAAAAAAAAAAAAUCUCUACAAGGGCCAGAGCCGUGACAUAGUGAAUAAAGCUGCUGCCUGCAGUGCCAGCAUUCCAUAUGGGCGCUGGUUCGAGUCCCAGCUGCUCCACUUUCAGUCCAGCUCCCUGCUAAUGCACAUGGGAAAGCAACAGAGGAUGGCCUAAAACCUUGGGCCCUUGCACCCACAUGAGAGGCCUGGAUGAAGCUCCUGGCUCCUGGCUUUAACCUGGCCCAGUCCUGGCCACUGUGGCCAUUUGGAGAGUGAAUCAGAUGGAAGUCUCUCUCCCUCUUUCUCUCUCUCUGCCUUUCUCUGCAACUUUCAUGUAAAUAAAUCAAUCUUGUAAAAAAAAAUCUUCUCCACAGAUGAGAAUUGCUGCAUUUCGCAUUCUAAAUUUUUCAUCUUAGUGUCACAUUUGAAGUUAAAUCCUUUGGACUCAUAUUGGGUCUAAAUGACCAUUUAUAAAGUAGUCAUCUACCAAUAUCAUGCUGAAAUAUGAAUUCUUGGGGCCAGUAUUAUAGUGUGGCUGGUUAAGUCACUGCCUGCAACAAGGACAUUCCAUAUGGGCAGCUGGUUCAAGUCUUGACUUCCACUUCUGAUCCAGCUCCCUGCUAAUAUGUCUGGGAAAGCAGCAGAAGAUGGCCCAAGUAUUUGGGUCCCUGCACCCACAUGGGAGACCCUGAUGAAGUUCCUGGAUCCUGCCUUCAGCCUGGCCCAGUCCAGCCAUUGAGGUCACUGGGGAUGAAACAGCAGUGUUUGGAAAGUCAGCAGAAAUUGGCGUGAAAUUAUUGUUCAAGAUAAAAAAGCAUACUGGAGGAGGAGAUUUUAUAUCACACAACUGAAAACAGGUUCUGAG